rnacentral:misc_RNA from 1 species
UGGAUACUAUCUGGUGCGCUC